GACGAACGCUGGCGGCGUGCUUAACACAUGCAAGUCGAACGGAAAGGCCCUGCUUGCAGGGUGCUCGAGUGGCGAACGGGUGAGUAACACGUGGGUGAUCUGCCCCUUACUUUGGGAUAAGCCUGGGAAACUGGGUCUAAUACUGGAUAGGACCAUGCUGUAGGUGGUGUGGUGGAAAGAUUUUUUCGGUAAGGGAUGAGCUCGCGGCCUAUCAGCUUGUUGGUGGGGUAAUGGCCUACCAAGGCGUCGACGGGUAGCCGGCCUGAGAGGGUGGACGGCCACAUUGGGACUGAGAUACGGCCCAGACUCCUACGGGAGGCAGCAGUGGGGAAUAUUGCACCAUGGGCGCAAGCCUGAUGCAGCGACGCCGCGUGGGGGAUGACGGCCUUCGGGUUGUAAACUCCUUUCAGCCAUGACGAAGCCUCUUUUGGGGUGACGGUAGUGGUAGAAGAAGCACCGGCUAACUACGUG
rnacentral:rRNA from 1 species